UGUCUUGCUGCAGCUACUGGCAUAUCCUGUCCAACCCCAUCCCCCAAUAUGACUGCAUUACAAACCAGGCUAGAAAGACAACAAAAUUUAAGGACUGCACUGAAGAUGCGCAGGGAAAAAAAAUACCCAUCACCAAACAAACAAAGAAAGGACACACACUUUCAGUUUUCAUCUCCCCUCGACUGGAAACCCAGACAUCCAUCACACCACACCUGACAGCUCCAGAGCAUGCCUCUGCUUCUCCCAGCCCCAGGAAGUGGGACUCAGAACUUCAAGGGAGACAGCAAGACAGCUCCACCUCACGCAGCCAAGAUGCAGAGCACAAUGGAACCUGUCCUCCUGCACCAGCAUUUAUUUUUCCAUAUGCACAAUUCUCUUCAGACAGCACUGUAAGAGCUUGCUGCUCUUCAGAGCAUCCAAAAUGAUCCGGUUUAUUCCAUGUUGGAGUGAAAGAGGAGCAUUCAGCAUGGCCAGUGAACAUGUUGGUGCCAAAGAGGUAAUCGCUUCCUACAGCGCACAAACUCAACUGGAAAAAUACCUUCUAAUACAGCACCUCAGGAGACGUAAAUUUUAGAAGUUAAUCUUUUUGCAUCAUUGCCAAUCAGCAAUGCCAAACAUCAGAGAUAUUUAUGAGAAAACUAUUGAUUACACACUAUGAUUUAAAAACUCCUGCAGGUCUUCUGCAUGUCAGAAAACGCAGUGGGACACUAGAAACAACAAGAAGCUGAUAAAGUCAAGUAUGCACAACAGGAUGACGGAAUUUUAGCUACAGGGGAGAGGGGUGCCACAGCUCUGAGCUUUCUGUAUUCCAGCCUUGUGUGUGUUCCUGGUAAAUGUUGCAGGACAUAUGAUGUGCCAGUCCUUCACCGUAAUUAAGCAAAAUUUAUGUGAAAAUCAGGCAGUCCUCCAAACCUCAGAAAAUGCAGUUUUGCACCUUUUAAGGAAAGCAGAACUGCAGAGGAAGAUACCAGACCAGGGAACCCAGACUUUCAGGAUUGCCUGGAGAUGGAAAGAGCAAGAGAUGAAAACAUGGCAAAGGGUGGUGCCUCAAAAUGGAAAGGAAUGGAGUUGGAGCACUGGGCAAGAGUACAGUCAGCAGUCUGGGCUACCAUGAGAACAAUGUAAUGAGUGCCUUUGGCCUAAGGGCAGUUCAUACAGCGAGGAUCAGGAAGGUGACACUUCCAUGCAAUGCAAUGCAAAGAGGAUGCAGCAGAGCUGGACAUGCAUGCCUCGAAGUAACAGAGCAAACAAGUGAAGCAGAUUAAGGACAACCUACUAUAUCAGUGAUGCUCACUUUACACAAAGACACUGGGAUAACUUUCUUAAAACUGUUUAAAUCAGCAGCAAAGGACCCUGAAAAGGCUUUACUUUUACGAAAUAGCAGCCAUUGUGUUCUUUCUUUGCUAUUGAAACAAGCUCUAGAAAUUGUAAAGCAAAAGCAAUCAUUUCUAUGAUUGAGGUUCAGGAAGGGGUAUGUUGCACAGGUCAAAGUAUGUGUUUGAUAUUCUUUCACGUGUCAGAUCUGGCAUUGUUUGACCCCUUGCAGAGGUGAUUCAGCACACACUGCCAGGAGAAAAUAAGCCUUUUUUUUUUUUUUUAGAAUUGUUCUUUUGGCAAUAUUUUGGGGGUUUUAUUACUCAGUUUUUGCUGGCUUGAGCUUGCUAAGCACACAGAUGAGCACAAGAACUAGCAUGAGACAAUCCGUGGCAGUGUGUGUCUGGGACCAUCUCUUUUGGCAGAAGCAAGCUGUUAAAUGAGCUCAGUUGCCUCAUGACACCUCACUGAACACAAAACAGCAAGUGACAGGCUUUCCAAAAAGCUAUUUGUUUCACCAGGAAUUCAAAACCAAGCUUCCUCCAGCAGCUGUUGGGAAAGACCAGAUUUGCAUAGCAACACAGGCAGUAUUUGUACAGGGCCUUUUUGUGAAGGAUGAGAUUAAACCUCUAGUACACAGGAGGGAUGAAAGCUUUCUCCUCUCAGAAGCAUCAGAAAAAAGACGGUUUAUUAAUCUUAAGAAGCUAUUUUCUUCCUAACAACGGUCUUGGCUUUAUAUUCUCACAUAACAGGAAUUAUGGGGUAUUUGGCCUUCGUGUUUACUUAAGGAAUUAUUUUGUAGUAUCCCCCAUUUUUUCCCCCAAGGAAUCACUUUUAAGACUAAGUCAUGUGGCCGUGACUUUUUUUUUCUUUUUGGUAUUUAAAUGUAUUAACAGCAAAGUCAUAAAAAUCAGGUCUGUAGCACAGCCAAGCCUAAAGAAAAGUCUGCUCAAUAGAGAUCACUGUUUCCACGGCUGUUUCCAGAGGAGGAAUGUAUGUUUCCACAUACAACAAGCGCCCUUUGAGUGAGUCUGAGAAGAGGUCUUGUCCAACCCAGCUAAAUUCAGUUUCUAAAAAACAUUUUCUUUUGCUUGAAGGCAGAAGGCUGGAGUUUCGCCAGCGAAGGUGGCCAGGCUGUGCAGGGGCACAUGGACGCGUGUGGUGCAUCCUCCCCACUCCCACAGUGGGACGGGUCUACAGGGACAUGUGUGAUCCCAAACCGUCCCACAACACAAGGGUCCCAGGGGCUUGGACUGCUCCUGCUCAGACUAAUGCAUCCAGGGCAGGAGAAUGGGGAAUGGACAAGAGAGGAGAGGAGCCAGACAAGAGGCAUCAAGCAUUAAAGACAAGAGCACAUUAGGGUAUCAGUGACCACAAAUAUCCCACAUAAAAUCAGACUGAAGACAGCAAAGGAGAGAAAAUGUCUUACAUGUGACAGCUUUAUUAGCAUUUGAGUAUCAUUGAUGAAACACCUCUUCUAAAGCCAUCUAACUUUUUAUUUUCCCCCCUCUCAUGUGAAAAUGCCCAGCAACUUCAACCUGGAAGGUAAAAAUCAGCACGGGAGCUUAUUAACAAAGGCUGCCACCUCCCACCUAGGUAAACAGAAGUGUUUGCCACAGUGGCCCCCAAUUAUUGUUCCUUCUUUGUGAAUUGGCUGGUCUGAUUCAAGUGUACUCAAUCAUGAAAUGUAUACCCUCAGCAGCAUCAGCAGGGCUGCAGUAACAUGGCUGUGGCCGAAAGGGAAAGGAUAAAGCAGAAGGCAGUAGUAAUUAAGCCGUUCAGCAGCUUACAUGCUAGGUUCUGUUUCUGAGGCCAGCCACAGCGCAGGUCAACUGCUCUAGGUUAGAUAAACUGAAGUUCAGCCUAACUGCCCGCAGUGACGAGUUGUUCCCUGGAUCAAGUUUAAACACCAGCAUUUCUCCUGGCCCUGCCCCUGUCACUCAUUUGCUUGAAAUAUUUCAUAUUUUGACCCCUAAAAAACAUGUCUUCUUUCUUUUAAAGGAAACUUCAGAAAGUAGCAUGUUUAUUUGGAUUUUUGGUGGUGUUUUCUCCCUUCCCAUCUAACACAGAGAAGGACAGAGAGACUUUCAAGCAUAGCUGCUUCCCCCAAAAGCACGUCAUUACAUAUUUGACAUAUAUCAAAUCAAAAAAGCCCAGAUUUGGUGCACAAAGCCCUGGGUUUGUACUACUGUCCCCUCACUCACCCUGUCCUCAUUCAUCUCUGGUUAAUAAGCAGUUAAAACCUGCUCGCUUGAAGAAAAAACUAGAAGGGGCAGAACCACUCUCAUUUAUCCACAGUGGUCAAACAACUUGGAGGAGAAGGAGGAGGAGGAGGAGGAUGCAUUUAUCUGUGACAGCAUGAGGCCAGUCUAGGUAGGCACAAUGUCACCCAGUUUUCGGGUACAAUUCACAAACGUUACAUGUUAACCACUGUUAAAUAUUCACAAACCUGCCUGUCAGGGUCCCUUGAAAUCAUUCCCAUUUUGCUAAUUGUUAGCCCCCAGUGGUAGUUUCUCAUUAAUAAAGGAAAAGGAGGAGAUUCAGAAACAAGGCAAGAAGAAGAUCCAGAAACAAGGCAAGAAGCAGCACAGGGACAAUACAGAGAAUUAGGCACAUAAGGCAAUAUAUCUGGCUUAAUCUUUGCCACCCUUUAUUUUAGGGCUCAGUACUUGGCUCAGAAUACCCGUUAUAUUUGAUAAUUGUUUUGGCUGGUAAUAACAACAGAUUCACUUGGAUUUAAUAGACACAGCAUACUUUAUUUAAUACCCAUCUCUGGAUUUGUACCAAUGCCUGCUGACAGUGCUCUCACAUUGUGUCUUUCCAAGCAAGAAAUGAGGUCACACAACUCAUGUAAUAAUCUGAUAUACAUUUUGUGGCAAUUUGGAAAAGUUUUUAAAAUUCCUAAAUGAAGACCUUCUGGUUUUGGUUUUUUGGGGGUUUUUCUUCCCUUUAUGGAAAUUUGGAUUUUUUCUACUUUUUAAUUAGGAUUUCCCAAAUGGAAGACCAAACUUCAUAAAAUCCAGGAAGAAACUGUUUACACACUCUCCAAACUCCAGUUCUGCUUCUUUCUUCUUUUUUUAUUAUUAGUAUUCUUUUUUUCCUUUUCUUACUGAAGUGGAGGAGCCUACACAGUUUGUUUCUGAACGAAGUACUGCCCUUUUCUGGCAAGAAGGGAGUCUUCUUUUAAUUAAGUGACAUUCCAGAAAGUUUGCAAUUAGAAAGGAUCAAGGUACAAAGAGAACACCCUGAGGAAAUGCUUUUGCAAAGAGGGCAGGGCUUGUUGAUAAUUUUGAUGAGGCAAGAGGAAUAGUUAAAAUAACUACAUUUAUUUUCUUCUAAAAUUAGGCUCUGAAAAGGUAGAAAAUGCCCUCUAUUUACUAGAAGACAACAGGAACAAGACAGAUCCUUAGGCAUAACAUUAGAUAUUACACGUGGACUUGUGUAAUUACUGACUACAGAGGGCAGAGCAGUUCAGGUACCACCUCAAGUAUCUAAAUUAAAAUCUCACCUACCUCUAGCUGUAGAAAGAGCAGCAUGCAGAUCACGAAGAGCAUUUCUGGAAGGACCUCCAGGCAGAAAUGGCCAUGUUUCAGCACGUACAAUUGCAGAACUCAUGGCUGAAACAACUCCACUGCAGAGAAGUGCAGGGACUCCUUCCACCAGUGUCUCUCCAGCAUAUGAGUCCCUGCUGUGACAUGAUGGUGGCCCACAUGAACCAGAAAGAAAGGUGGGAGUAUAAGACAAGGGACCACUGUCAUUUUCUGGGGCCAAACCAGCAGGAUCCUUUGGUCUGGAACUUGCAAAGAGCAGUGUAGCACAGUGAGCUAGCCUUUACGGGGUCAUUAAGGGAGCAAGCAGCUUCUCCAAAACUCUCCUGAGUGGCUUAAGAGAUUUUUUUUUUUUUUUUUUGCACACAAUUCUAAUAAAUAGCACUUACCCAUUCCUGAAGGCUUCUCUUCUUCCAAGCCAAAUAAGAAUUCAUAUUUGGCCUUGGCAACAUUCUGGGCAUGAGCCGAUACGUCAUCAUCCCGCACAAGCGCUUCUGCCUGUAGAGUCAAAAUAAACAAAGCUUAUCUACCUUUUAGUGAAAAAACAGCAGAAGGAACAUGAAAUCCCUUCAAGUGCACUGUCAGGUAGAAUUUUAAAGUAUUCAUUUCAGUCUGUCACCACCAAGAUCAUUCAGAGAAGACAUGGGCCAACUCAGAGCACCUUUGAAGAGCUCACCUCUCUGUCGUUGAAUUCAAGCAUUUCAGUAUUGAGUAGAAAUGUUAGAGCACUCAACCACUCACUUCUUUAGCCAGCUUACCCACUAAAAGGCCAGCAGCACUGGGCAACUAUCUCAAUAAUACCAGUUAGGGUUAAAAAUAUCAAGGGAAUAGUAUCAGAAAUAGCAAAUUUGAGUAUGAUGUAUGUCAUAAAACUGGGACCCAUGGGAAAACCAUAAACGGGACAGGCUGUUUAUUUGAAAACAGAGUGGGGUAGAGAAAGUGAGGAGCAAGGACUACAACAAUGAUCAAAAAAGGGAAGAAAGACAAAGUAUGCAAACAUGUGGGAGUACUGUCUAAGGGUCCCUGUUGGGCAGCCCAUGCAUGACCACCACUGUGUAUGUCAGGAUAAGAGCCCAGCUUGGUUUUACAACCAUACCACACAAGUCAAACCUGCUUAUCUGGCCAGGAGGCAGGGAGUGGGCACAGGGUGGUGAGCCCAGUUAUCAGGGGAACACCCGGAAGGGUGGAUGGACAGAUGGAAUGAGCAAUCCAUUCUACUCAGGCCUGGUGCCACCAGCACCUCCCCACUGCUCCCUUCUUGUAAGAAAUAGUUUGACAGAGUAAAGGUCCAGUUUCUCAGAAGAGAGAAAGGCUACAGGAUUGAGAUCAAAAUACUUUUCUGAACAGGUAGGGACAAAACAAAUCUCUAAGAUAAAGUGCACACCAGCAAUAAACUGUAGUGCAAAAACUGUCUAGAGUCAGCAUUAAGCUUCUUCCCAGCUGGGCAAGACGGAGCCCGUAAUUCUUCUGUUUGAAGUGACAGUUAAAUAACUCACUAACUCCAUAAAUUCUUCAGUAAACUUUAUAUUCAUAUGAGGCAGUCAAUUGUUGUGGCAUAGCAAGUCAUGGCAUGGUUCACAUUGGUGAAAGCAUUAGCUUACAAAAACACUCUUAAAAAAAAAAAGUCAAAUGGAACAUUCUGUCCCCCAGGACAACAAUAACUUUUAUGCAUUUCUAUCAAAUACCUUAGGAUAAGCAUCAGCUACAAACAGAAAUUCAAAGUACAAGGGACACAUAAUUCACAGGAACACAAAGUCACGGCUCUUUAAUCAGAGAUAGAUGGAAUCAUAAAUCCAUACAUUCCUCCUAGGCCAUCUGUCCAACAACUACAUUUUCUUCCAAUAGCAUAUUGACAAAUAGCUAUCUUGCCCCAUGUCCUAGAACAGUUUUGCUCCAGGUGUUCUUGCCUUUUACACCCAUUUCUUCUCCUACUUAUCUGUACUGUGCCAGUUCUGCAAGACUUAGUCCAACACCACUCUGCCCUAAGCAGACAGAAGAUCUUACACAGGAGGCUUGGACUGAUUUAUUUACCAUUCACUAGUCCAACUACUCAGCACUAGGGCUUCCAGUACUUUGAUGGAUGUGCUAACACCAGCCUACCAAAUCCUUUAGGAAAAAUGUGAUGGAACAGAUAAAGGGCUUUCUAGCACAAAGAUGACUAUCACAACCAUGACAAAAUGAGCUUGGAAGAAAUCUCCAUGUCUGUCCUGCCUUUACAGGGAUUCACUGGCAGGGAGGCAGGAAGGGUUAGAAAAGGAAUAGCUGGAGCCAGAGCACAGAGGAGAAGGCUCUUUGUCUGCAACAGCUUAGACAGGAGUAGCUUACGGAGCCAGACAAAAAUUCAGCCUACUCAGACGGAUGUGAAGGGAUGGGACAGCUAACAACCAGCUGGUGCCAAAUCCCAGUGACAGAUAAAUGAAAUGGAAAAUAAAAUUAACAGAACAGUCCAGUUCCUGAGCAGUCAGGAAUUUCUGAUCUAUGCCCCUCUGGGACACAGCUUAUCCAUCCCUCAGCCUUGCUCUUUGAGAUUUCACAGACAUCUGCUGCACUGAGCUUCCCUGCCAGCAAACACAUGUUCCAAGGAUCUCUAUUUGCCUGUACCUUAUUGUAAAGCAAUGAAGAAGAUUCCAGUUCACAGCACCCUCUGCAUCAUCCAAUAACAGGCACAAAUAAAUUGUUAAAUUAAUGGGGUUUCAGUGUAUAGGGCAUCAUUUAUCAGAGUUAGGUGCCUAAGCAGAGGCUGCAAGAUCUUAGUCUUUGCACCUGAAAGGGGCAACUUGAUUUUCAGAAGUGCUCAACACUGCUGAUGAGAGUUACAGAUACUGGCUUGUGUAUGGGAACAGCUGUAUUUAACAUCUAUUUAGGUUGUCAGAGCAGUAAAAGGAUGUGUAAAGAAAGUCCAGAUCCAGGCUUAAGGGUAAGGUUGUCAUAUUUCAUCCAAACAAUAAAUAUUUAAAAAGAAUGCAAGAGCAGGAAAGAAUAAGGAUGCUCUGAGGUCAGAGCUAGUUUUUAAGACUAUUGCUUUACCAAUGUCCAAAUCAAGAGACCACAUGGGCUCUCCUUUCCUUCUUUCGAUCUACCACUCACCUAAGCCUUGCAGAAGUCAACACGCCCCGACACCAGCAGGCCAGAAAUGGGCUGGACAAACAUUCAUGGUGCUUUCAAGUUGCAUUAGCAAAGAUUAAAUACAAGCAAGAUGGAAAGGGAUAUAAAAUUCCUGUUUAAGCCUUCUCUCUCAGCUCAAGGACAAAGAAAUCUGCAUCCAGGUCAGCUCAUUUCAUAAUUGCUUCCCUCAGAGGGCUUUAACCACCACCUAUGAUGCAUCUCGUCUUUGUCACUGCUGGAGAAGGUGAUGCUUAGAGCACCAAUCCCCUUAAAUCAGCUCAGCUGUACAUACAUUUCUCAUGAGCCAUAUACAUAUUAUCUUUCAGUCCAGUGAUGCUCUGGGCAGAGAGGCACCAAGCUCCUACCCAUUUGUGCAUCACUCUUGCAGUGCCUUCUGCCUGUUUGAACAUGUUUGAUCAAGCCUACUUCUCUAGCUCAUAGCUCUUGGUCUGGAGUUAGGAGGGCUGCAUUUGUCUCUCAGUGAAUUUUAGAUAACAUUUAUGAGGCUGCAUUAGUUUGGAGUUGGUAGUCCUCACCCCUCAGACCUCCUGCCAACACACUGGACUAGUUUCUGUUGACCUCACACAAGGCACCGGUAUGGGUCCACAGAGGUCCCACCUUGCUGGCCUUCUGUUUCACGCUUAGGAUAAGCCCGUGGUGCUCAUGGUGGUUUCAGGCCAGCACAGGAAGCGAAGCUGCUGAAUCCCUGUCUCACCGCUGAACUGAACAGCAGCAGGAUGCUAAGACCACAGGGCUCCUGCUACUCCAGCAGGAGCUGCCAAGGACAGAUAAGUCAGCCCAGCAAGAAGCACACACACUGCCUCUGCUCUGCUGUCUGGAUGUGCAAAUGGAGCAGCGGGUCAGUAUCUGCAAGGAGAAACUGUGCCCACAAUUCAGCCUUGAGAGGUGUCUUUAGGCAGGCACUGGGUUGAUGAGAGCUGGGUGCUGCACAGUUUCUCUCUCUGGAUGAAUUUCAUGUCUACUCACAAGCUCCCCUCAAACUGUCGUCCAAAAAUCCCAGUGGUUUUUAGUGAGUCAUAGAAAGCUGAAGAAAAUGCUUCUCCUUUCUCCACAGAAGAAAAGUACCAAAGCAUCCUCUUUUGACUUGCACCAAGGUUCUGGUUGGGACCUUUUUUUGGGACAAAGUGUUUUUGUCUUUGGGCCUUUUUUUUUCCUUUUCAUACCUACAUGUAAGAGAGCUUUAACUGAAGGAUAUCAAACUCUUGCUAUCUCACCACCAUUUUCAGCUGAGUUGACAGGAGAGCUGGUCUCCAUCUCAGUGGAACGGGAUAACAUUGUCCACAGCUGCUAUGACAAGAAAUGUCUGAGCACAAAGAACCAGUAUGAACCCAUGCCUCCUGAAGCAUUCACACUUAAGGUCAUACGUUUUCUUUGAAAAUGUCUAAUAAGAAGGAAGUACUCAAAGGAGCAGAUAAUUAAAUGGCAAAUUUCAGUCUGGAGUUUUUCAGACUCCCUGAGAGGACAGAUGCUGUUAAGACAGACUGACUCCUUUCAGAAGACCUGGGAAAACAGUACUUGAGACAAAGCAGAAUGGGAUGGGUUCUCAAGCAUGAGUCUUCAGGGAGUAAGAGUCAGCCAAAAUUCUGGACAGCAAGAGACCACUCAUGCUAAGGGCAAACAUCAGCAGGAAGGGACCUAAGGACCAUUCACAAAGAAUUGUUAGCUGGGACAGAGAGGUCAAAGCGUCCUUAGGCAUGUCUCCACAGCUAAGCCGUACCAUGAGGAAGCCUCAGUUUUACAUGCUUUUGCAUGUGCACAGCUCUGUUUUCCAGAGCUGACUGCCUUCCCCCUCAGCCAUACCACCACUGGAUGUCAGCUUCCUGACAGCAGGCAACAACCCCCGCACGCUGGCAGCGCCUUUUGGAGGUUUCAUUGAGGCUACUGGAGAAACACUGCACUAUUGCAAGAAAGCAGAAAAAAGUCUUUAAGAAUGCCUGUAAAUCACAGUCUACUACGGAGAACUUCACAGCCACAUCUGGACCAUUUCUAAUCCCAGGCUGUGCUUGUUCCAUUCUCAUUGCUUCACCAACAUCUCUAGCAGCAAAAACCACAAUUGCCUGUCAGCAGCUUAUCAUAUACCCCUAUACAGUGAGUUUAUGCUCUUAGCAGGAAUGAUGGAUAGAAGGUUCCCGCAGAUUUUAAAACCUUCUCCAGCAAGUUGCAAUGUCAUGGACAAGUCUUUACAGAAUCCUGCAUUGAGAGUCGUGCCUCUACUGUCACACCAUCCCUGCGUGGCCAUGAGCUUAGCAACCUUCACUGCUUUUGGCAGAUCAUACCAAUUGUUCUGAAAAGACUAUGCCUGCUGAGCUUGCCUUAAAUCACUUUCUUAAGUAACAGGAUUAAAUGCAGAAAGCUGGCAUUAAAAUAAAUUUGCUAACUGGUGAAAUCCAGUGGACCGACAUCACAAGGAGAGUGCAGGUGCCCACAGUAAGACCACUAGCAAGAGCUGUAGUCUUUAAUUCCAUGUGACCUCAUACAUCCUAUUUGUGUUUUCCUCAUACCUCCCCACACUUACGUUUGCAACUCUUGAAUUAAAGCAUUAGUAAAAUAGAUUAAAAUUCAUAAGAACAGGAGCUUUGCAUGGCUAAAUCUCAGCUGGAGCUGCUAAAACUAAAUGCUAGCCAAGGUUUUGAAAGAGAGGAAAUCUCAGCCUGGGUUUUAAACAAAUUCCUAACUAUCAGGAGUUGCAGGGAGAUGUAUAGAAAGCCAGAGGUGGUGACGAAAGAAAGGGCUUGUGUGAGACCACGGCCUAUAGCUAUUUUCCAGCAGAGAAGUCUGGAUUUUAGAGAGGGAUAACAAAGUCAUGUAAGACUUUUCAGCUACAAGAAGGAGGCAAGUAAGAGAUUGGCAGAGGUACUUGCAGUGAUAAGGGGUCUGGAUAAGGCAAAGAACAAUCAGUUAUUCAGCACCUCUUUUUUUAAUGCAACAGCCAGAGGACAACAGAAGAAGGUACUGGAGUCAGCAUCACACCAAAGAGGACAUGGUUCCUCGUACAAUUUGUAUUCAAAACCACCAACCUCCUUGCAAAGCAAUGUCACAGAAACCAAAAUACUGAGGGACAUGACGAGGAGGGUGAACAAGCUCAAGGGAUACAAAUCCCCAACAACAUAGAAAUCACACCCUUCUCAUGAAUCUCUAAGCUGAACUCUUCCGGGGCAUCUGCCGACCUUCAUGACCACACACAUGCUCCCAAGGCUAAAGCAACCUUGAAUCCAAACCAGUGCUGUGAGUCACUAUUACCUGCUCACCAGGCUUCAGCAUGGCCCUGGACUGGACAGACCUCAGGCAGUACCAUCCAGCCAGCUCCUCUUGAGUCCUCACCGAAACAUACCCCACAGCCUACCCCACGGAUUCACCAAAAGGCACCAGGGCACUGCCGGUUCCCCAUGCCAUUAUUCCCAGCACUACAGGAUUUGUUUACUAUGAGCAGCCUCACAACAAGCAGUCAGGCUGGAGAGAGCAAAACUGACAGGGUGCAGAUACUAUCAAAGCUGCUCUCCAGCUCAAAGGCAGACUUCACAGAAGUUCAGUGUCUAAAGAGAGGCUCAGUUCACAAAUGAAGCAAAAGAGUUGCUGCUUAGAAAAAAAACCUGUCACUGGAAACAGUGACAAAAAAACUCAAAUUAAUGCCUUAGCAGCAGUAUCAAGCAGUUGCAGGUAAAAUUUGUUUCUAGUCUGGUCACCUUGCUUUAUUUAGACCUGCACUUGAGUUUUUCUCCCCUUAAAGAAAUGCUUGCUUUGUUGUUUGGUUGAAGUUGUUAGGACGCAGUCAGCUGUUAUAUAGAAUUAAAUGUUUUUUAUUAUGCAAAGGCUGACGCUGUCUGAGCUGUAACUGCAUGGCUGUGAACAGCAUAUUAAUUCAAAGUCUGUAUGACUAUACUUUACCAUUAAAGGUCACUCAGCAUUUUGUA